CCCAUGGCUCAGAUUGAACGCUGGCGGCAGGCCUAACACAUGCAAGUCGAGCGGAUGACAGGAGCUUGCUCCUGAAUUCAGCGGCGGACGGGUGAGUAAUGCCUAGGAAUCUGCCUGGUAGUGGGGGACAACGUUUCGAAAGGAACGCUAAUACCGCAUACGUCCUACGGGAGAAAGCAGGGGACCUUCGGGCCUUGCGCUAUCAGAUGAGCCUAGGUCGGAUUAGCUAGUUGGUGAGGUAAUGGCUCACCAAGGCGACGAUCCGUAACUGGUCUGAGAGGAUGAUCAGUCACACUGGAACUGAGACACGGUCCAGACUCCUACGGGAGGCAGCAGUGGGGAAUAUUGGACAAUGGGCGAAAGCCUGAUCCAGCCAUGCCGCGUGUGUGAAGAAGGUCUUCGGAUUGUAAAGCACUUUAAGUUGGGAGGAAGGGCAGUAACUUAAUACGUUGCCGUCUUGACGUUACCGACAGAAUAAGCACCGGC
rnacentral:rRNA from 2 species